rnacentral:miRNA from 2 species
UGCUUGAUCCAUGUCCAGAGUC